GGAGGGGUGGCAGAGCCUGGUUGAAUGCACCGGUCUUGAAAACCGGCAGGCCCUCUGUGGUCUCGGGGGUUCGAAUCCCUCCCCCUCCGCCG
rnacentral:tRNA from 1 species